rnacentral:rRNA from 1 species
UGGGGGAUAUUGCACAAUGGGGGAAACCCUGAUGCAGCGACGCCGCGUGGAGGAAGAAGGUUUUCGGAUUGUAAACUCCUGUCGUUAGGGACGAUAAUGACGGUACCUAACAAGAAAGCACCGGCUAACUACGUGCCAGCAGCCGCGGUAAAACGUAGGGUGCAAGCGUUGUCCGGAAUUACUGGGUGUAAAGGGAGCGCAGGCGGACCGGCAAGUUGGAAGUGAAAACUAUGGGCUCAACCCAUAAAUUGCUUUCAAAACUGCUGGCCUUGAGUAGUGCAGAGGUAGGUGGAAUUCCCGGUGUAGCGGUGGAAUGCGUAGAUAUCGGGAGGAACACCAGUGGCGAAGGCGACCUACUGGGCACCAACUGACGCUGAGGCUCGAAAGCAUGGGUAGCAAACAGGAUUAGAUACCCUGGUAGUCCAUGCCGUAAACGAUGAUUACUAGGUGUUGGAGGAUUGACCCCUUCAGUGCCGCAGUUAACACAAUAAGUAAUCCACCUGGGGAGUACGACCGCAAGGUUGAAACUCAAAGGAAUUGACGGGGGCCCGCACAAGCAGUGGAGUAUGUGGUUUAAUUCGAAGCAACGCGAAGAACCUUACCAGGUCUUGACAUCCGAUGCAUAGUGCAGAGAUGCAUGAAGUCCUUCGGGACAUCGAGACAGGUGGUGCAUGGUUGUCGUCAGCUCGUGUCGUGAGAUGUUGGGUUAAGUCCCGCAACGAGCGCAACCCUUAUUGCCAGUUACUACGCAAGAGGACUCUGGCGAGACUGCCGUUGACAAAACGGAGGAAGGUGGGGAUGACGUCAAAUCAUCAUGCCCUUUAUGACCUGGGCUACACACGUACUACAAUGGCGUUUAACAAAGAGAAGCAAGACCGCGAGGUGGAGCAAAACUCAAAAACAACGUCUCAGUUCAGAUUGCAGGCUGCAACUCGCCUGCAUGAAGUCGGAAUUGCUAGUAAUCGCGGAUCAGCAUGCCGCGGUGAAUACGUUCCC